CUACGGGGGGCAGCAGUGGGGAAUAUUGGACAAUGGGGGAAACCCUGAUCCAGCAAUGCCGCGUGUGUGAAGAAGGCCUGCGGGUUGUAAAGCACUUUCGGUUGGGAGGACUGCUUCUAGCACUAAUAUUGUUGGAAGUUGACGUUACCUUCAGAAGAAGCACCGGCUAACUCCGUGCCAGCAGCCGCGGUAAUGCGGAGGGUGCAAGCGUUAAUCGGAAUUACUGGGCGUAAAGCGCACGUAGGCGGCUAGAUCAGUCGGGUGUGAAAGCCCCGGGCUUAACCUGGGAACUGCAUCUGAUACUGUCUAGCUUGAGUACAGGAGAGGAGAGUGGAAUACCACAUGUAGCGGUGAAAUGCGUAGAUAUGUGGAGGAACACCAAUGGCGAAGGCAGCUCUCUGGCCUGAUACUGACGCUGAGGUGCGAAAGCGUGGGGAGCAAACAGGAUUAGAUACCCCCGUAGUC
rnacentral:rRNA from 1 species